rnacentral:rRNA from 1 species
GGCGCGUGCUAUACAUGCAGUCGAGCGGACAGAUGGGAGCUUGCUCCCUGAUGUCAGCGGCGGACGGGUGAGUAACACGUGGGUAACCUGCCUGUAAGACUGGGAUAACUCCGGGAAACCGGGGCUAAUACCGGAUGCUUGAUUGAACCGCAUGGUUCAAUUAUAAAAGGUGGCUUUUAGCUACCACUUACAGAUGGACCCGCGGCGCAUUAGCUAGUUGGUGAGGUAACGGCUCACCAAGGCAACGAUGCGUAGCCGACCUGAGAGGGUGAUCGGCCACACUGGGACUGAGACACGGCCCAGACUCCUACGGGAGGCAGCAGUAGGGAAUCUUCCGCAAUGGACGAAAGUCUGACGGAGCAACGCCGCGUGAGUGAUGAAGGUUUUCGGAUCGUAAAACUCUGUUGUUAGGGAAAAACAAGUACCGUUCGAAUAGGGCGGUACCUUGACGGUACCUACCCAAAAACCCGGGUCUAACAACGUGCCACCACCCGGGAAAAUACUUAGGUGGCAAGCGUUGUCCGAAAUUAGGGGCCGUAAUUGGCGCGCAGGCGGUUUCUUACUUUGAUGUGAAA